rnacentral:lncRNA from 1 species
CGGGAACCCAGGGCCACGCGUGGAGUCUCCCGCCUGCUCCCUCCGGGGUUUUCGCUGGAAAGACCGCUCGAGGCCUUCCUUAAAGAGCCACUGCCCGCAAAACGGGUGGACUGGAGCAGUUCAUGGAGGUGCGCGAGGAAGGCCGAGAAAGACUGCAUGUUCUCACGUGCGGAAGCUAAAAUAGCUGGGCCAGUGGCGGAGCGCUCCUGGCCGGUGCCGAGGCCCAGCCGGUACUGGGGAGAGG